rnacentral:rRNA from 1 species
AUUGAACGCUGGCGGCAGGCCUAACACAUGCAAGUCGAGCGAGCGGCGGACGGGUGAGUAAUGUCUGGGGACUGCCCGAUAGAGGGGGAUAACUACUGGAAACGGUAGCUAAUACCGCAUACUAUCGGAUAACCCAUAUGGGAUUAGCUAGUAGGUGAGGUAAUGGCUCAACUAGGCGACGAUCCCUAGCUGGUCUGAGAGGAUGAUCAGCCCCACGUGGACUGUGAAACGGCCCAGACUCCGACGGAGGCAGCAGUGGGGAAUAUUGCACAAGGGGCGCAAGCCUGAUGCAGCCAAGCCGCGUGUAUGAAGAAGGCCCUAGGGUUGUAAAGUACUUUCAGUCGGGAGGCGUUACCGGCAGAAGAAGCACCGGCUAACUCCGUGCCAGCAGCCGCGGUAAUAC